rnacentral:rRNA from 1 species
UACGAAGGGGGCUAGCGUUGUUCGGAAUCACUGGGCGUAAAGCGCACGUAGGCGGAUUUUUAAGUCAGGGGUGAAAUCCCGAGGCUCAACCUCGGAACUGCCUUUGAUACUGGAGAUCUUGAGUCCGGGAAGAGGUAAGUGGAACUGCGAGUGUAGAGGUGAAAUUCGUAGAUAUUCGCAAGAACACCAGUGGCGAAGGCGGCUUAC